AUCCAGCUGAUGUGUUCCAAAUAGGACGAAACGAGCAUCAAGCUGUAU
rnacentral:hammerhead_ribozyme from 1 species